rnacentral:lncRNA from 1 species
GGCCAACCUCAAAAGAGGUCUCCGCCCGGACUCCCACGGGAGCUGGGCUUCAUCCUCGACACCAACAACUUCAGCCACAAGCAGACUCCGCCCGGACUCCUACGGGAGCCGGGCUCCGCCGCCGACAACUUCAGCAGCAAGUGGACUCCGCCCGGACUCCUACGGGAGUCGGGCUCCGUCCUCAACGUCAACUACUGGUAAGCCUCGUCCGGACUCCUACGGGAGCCAGACUUCGCCUUUAACCUUGAUUGCAGGAAGACUUCGCCCGGACUCCUACGGGAGCCGAACUUCGUCCUCGACUCCAACGACUGCAAGACAGGCUGCGUCCGGACUCCUAC